rnacentral:rRNA from 1 species
UACGAAGGGGGCUAGCGUUGUUCGGAAUUACUGGGCGUAAAGCGUGCGCAGGCGGCUUCCCAAGUCAGUGGUGAAAGCCCGGAGCUCAACUCCGGAAAUGCCAUUGAAACUGUGAAGCUCGAGAACGAGAGAGGUGAGUGGAAUUCCCAGUGUAGAGGUGAAAUUCGUAGAUAUUGGGAAAGAACACCAGUGGCGAAGGCGGCUCACUGGCUCGUAACUGACGCUCAUGCACGACAGCGUGGGGAUCAACAGGA